rnacentral:rRNA from 1 species
UACAGAGGUCUCAAGCGUUGUUCGGAUUCAUUGGGCGUAAAGGGUGCGUAGGUGGCGCUGUAAGUCGGGUGUGAAAUUUCGGAGCUUAACUCCGAAACUGCAUUCGAUACUGCGGUGCGUUGAGGACUGGAGAGGAGACUGGAAUUCAUGGUGUAGCAGUGAAAUGCGUAGAGAUCAUGAGGAAGACCAGUGGCGAAGGCGGGUCUCUGGACAGUUCCUGACACUGAGGCACGAAGGCCAGGGGAGCAAACGGG